GAAAGGAAAACAGGAAGGGAAAGAUUGGUAAUGUAGUCAGUGUUGCUUAGGAGGCUUAGAUGUGAGUGAGUAGGGGCACUUUAACCAGAACGACAUUCUGAUUACUCCUGGUGGCUCAAAUGCUCUGGCUUGACAUGGCCGAGUCAUCUGUGAGAGAAAUCUGAGGUGUAGGCCAGCCACUGCCUCUUCAAAUUCAUCUAUAGGUCUUGUCCUUAACAACAAGCAGGAGGCUCUCAGUUUCCACUGCGUCAGACUAGCGGGGUUCACGAGGAAGUCAGCUGGUCGCUCGAAAAGUGAAAUAAAAGGGGGAGGGGAUUAGGGUACUGCAUUUCAUCCGUAUGUACGAAAAUGGCAGGAAAAGGAGUUGCUUACCUUAGCAGGAGUUAAACAGUGAUAACUAAAGUGAUGGGCUCCUCAGGCUAAGAAGGAAGAAUCGUCGAGGAAGUUCGCGUGAGAUGAAGGCAGAGCUGCGUGCGCAUGCGCUGUGAGGCCACAGGCUGCAUCUCCGUAUCCUUAACCUGAAGAGCGUCUCGGUGUGGGGAAGUCAAGGAUGCUCUGAGAAUCUAAAGCAGUAAGACAGCCCUGCAAACUCAGGAGCUAAUGCCUGUCCCCCCGCUUCUGCCUUAGGCUCCUCAGUAACCUCGUGAAGCAGAAGCCACAAACGGCAGAGGAGGCGUUCCAUUCCAUUGGCGAGGGUUUCCUGCUCCUACUGGGCAAGUGCUGCCACGCACAGAGGAGAGAAGCGUGCUUUCAACAAGAGGGACCUCAGCUGAUCAUGAGGUGCCAGUCCCUCUUAGAGGCUGACUCAUCCCAGAGCGUGUUGUUGUAGGAUCAUCGCUGUGGAAGGUGACAGUUGACAGAGAGCCUUCUCAUUGGCUCAGUGCUGUAGAAGAACACUGGCUGGUCCACACCAUCUUUCCUUUCCCUCAGCAGAUGAUACAUGGACACCCAGAUCAGUCUCUCAGAGCUCUCCCAGCUCAAGGCCUGUCUCUCAAGUGCAGUGGCAGAAACACGAACCCAAAGAACACUCACGGCCUCCAGACAAUUUAAUGUGCAGCCACACCUCCCUGGGAACUGCUGUUGGCCCCUACAGUAGACUUCAAGGUCAGCAUGGAGCUGUCUGUGCCACUUCUGAGAAUACUGACGACUGGGGGAAAUGCAGGAAUAAAGUUACCUUCCU
rnacentral:lncRNA from 1 species